GAUGAACGCUGACAGAAUGCUUAACACAUGCAAGUCGAUGGGGAAGUGGUGCUUGCACCAUGGCAACCAUGGCGGACGGGUGAGUAACGCGUAAGGGACUUACCUGCAGGACUGGGAUAACAGGGGGAAACUCCUGACAAGACCGGAUAAUGUCAUGGAGCUGCAUGGCUUUAUGAUGAAAGGAGACGCCUGCGGAGAGCCUUGCGUCCUAUUAGCUAGUUGGUGAGGUAAUGGCUCACCAAGGCGAAGAUAGGUAGCCGGCCUGAGAGGGUGGACGGCCACAAGGGGACUGAGAUACGGCCCUUACUCCUACGGGAGGCAGCAGUGGGGAAUAUUGGACAAUGGGGGCAACCCUGAUCCAGCAAUUCUGUGUGCACGAAGAAGGUUUUCGGACUGUAAAGUGCUUUCAGCAGGGAAGAAGUAAGUGACGGUACCUGCAGAAGAAGCGACGGCUAAAUACGUG
rnacentral:rRNA from 1 species